rnacentral:lncRNA from 1 species
CAAGCAUGGUCUCUCCAGAUUUCAAAUUGGAUGGUUCACCUCCCUAUAAUGUACCACUUUUGGUACAGACAUCUUGUUGUCCUAUGAAAUGUUGCUGAAAGAAAUCAAAUAAGAUAGAAAUAAAUGGUAAAACAUUCCAUGUUUAUGGAUUGGAAGACUCAAUGUUGUUAAAAUGUCCCUACUACCCAAAGUUAUCUGCAGGUUCAAUGCAGUCCCUAUCAAGAUC